rnacentral:rRNA from 1 species
GAUGAACGCUAGCGGCAGGCUUAACACAUGCAAGUCGAGGGGUAACAGGGAUUGCUUGCAAUCCGCUGACGACCGGCGCACGGGUGAGUAACGCGUAUACAAUUUGCCUUAUACAGGGGGAUAGCCUUUAGAAAUGAAGAUUAAUACCCCAUGGUAUUAUGAUAUGGCCUCAUAUUAUAAUUAAAGAUUUAUCGGUAUAAGAUGAGUAUGCGUUCUAUUAGCUAGAUGGUAAGGUAAUGGCUUACCAUGGCAACGAUAGAUAGGGGCCCUGAGAGGGGGAUCCCCCACACUGGUACUGAGACACGGACCAGACUCCUACGGGAGGCAGCAGUGAGGAAUAUUGGACAAUGGGCGAGAGCCUGAUCCAGCCAUGCCGCGUGCAGGAAGACGGCCCUAUGGGUUGUAAACUGCUUUUAUAUAGGAAGAAACCCGACCACGUGUGGUCGGCUGACGGUACUAUAAGAAUAAGCACCGGCUAACUCCG